UUUCAAAGGAUCAACAUCAGAGUCAACUUUUCUGAUCAACAAUGUUAUAUACGCAAUAAUUGGCGUGCCCAUCGCAGUCUUUAUGAUUAUUGUGAUUUUGGUGCUGGUCUUGGUGAUGUAUUUCCAAAGAAAACAAAGAACUGGCUCAAAAAAUGAAAGCUUUCAACUUGUAGGUAAGCAACAGCAAAUGGAAACAAGGAACACAGAUGCCAAUAAAACAGAUGAUUGCUGCCAAGAUAGAAACGAAAAAGAAAAUCAAAACUGUGCUGCAGAAGUAUACGCUUUUGUUGAGAAGAAUUUCUUGAGCAAAACAGAUGAACUGAAACACGAUGUCACUGAAAAUAACCAAGGUAU